CAGGCUUCUAUGGCACUAGUAGGCCUUCUCCAGGUUCAGAUAAGUGGGGGAUGGUGCCCAAGGCUGGUACUCUGGUCAAGCCUCACCUGGGAACUGUUCUAAGCACUUUGACCUUGGGUUAUGGUCCUACUACAAUUCCCUUGAAGAGCUCACAGUGACAGGUAGAGAAGAGUCUGCGCCUCGAUCAGAUAACCAUUUCCUCUUCUAAGUGUUAAUAUGUGGUCUCAAAGAGGCUUUAACUAGGACUGGCCUCUGUCCAAACCCAUGAGAAGAAUCAAAUUCUAACAUGGACUUGGGGGAAAGCUACCAGUGGUUGCAGCAAGUAUGAAUAGUAAAAAUUUACACUUGCCUUCACACAAGGAAGCAAGAAUACUAAAUUCCAAUCUAUGUUAUAUCAUUGUACCAGCUAUGUGACUUUGGACACUUAGUCUUCAUGUAACAUCACUGUAAGAAAAUGUUUCUAUGGAUGACAAAGAUUGAAUGAGUCACUCCACAUAGAAGAUGAGUGGACUCCUUAAUUGCUGCUCACAGGCCAGAAAUAAACAUCAUCCCAACACAGUUUUUGACUUGCAAUAGACCCUCCACAUCUCUAGGUCUCCAGUGUUCAUCCGUGUAAUGAGAUCUUGAGCUAUGUGAUUUCUCGGGACUCUUCUGGGCUUGAUAUUCCAGGAUUCUAGCAAACUUAUUACAGCUGAAGUCAUGAAGGAAAUAAUGUGCAGUGUACACUAUGUGUGCAAACAGCAACAAAGUAGGCAUUGGGCAACGGAAGCCAAUGUGCCUGAAAUUCCUAGAGCCCCAGGGUUUAGCAGGGUAAAUACUGUCAUGCUUGUGUUUACCCUGAGCUGCAAACAGAUCAGAACAAAGUGUAAGGUACAAGAAUUCUCAACACAAUUAUGUGUUUCCCAAUAUGGGUUGGUAAUCUGUGGUGUUAUUUUACUUUCUAACAAAGAAUUCAUCUUGCUUGUCCUCUGGGAACACGGUAUCUUCCUAGGGAAAAAGUCUGCUCUCAGAGAGAAGAGUACUGGUGUUGUAAUGGAGCGGACAAUAUUUAAGCACCUGACCUGGCGAUCUAGAUACAGCCUGUUUCUUCUAUUUGCAAAGCUGAAAGCUCAAGAUAAAACUACCACUGAAUUUCUCAAACCGGUCCUUGUCCCUUGGGCCUCUGUGCCGCACUCCGGAGAUUAUCAGGGCAAGAUAUUCUCCAUCCCUGCCUUGGAGCCAGCCGAUUAUGGACUGAAACCUCCACAAACUCACAAAUUGAUCCGUGCUCCUUGCUGAAGGAAGAUGGUGAAGAGAGGUCAGAAUCUGAAAUACAAUCCAUCAGACUCUGACUCACUGAUGUCUUCCUACGCCUGGCUCCUCCCACUGCCUUCCUGUCAUCCUAAAUUAUAGGGUGACAAAAACUAUCUCCUCUCGACUUCUUUUUUUUUUUUUUUUUGGUACCGGGGAUCAAACUCAGGUCCUUGUGCUUGUGCAGCAGGCGGUGAAACCACAGAGCUGAAUCCCCCCGGCCCCCUCUGGACUUCUUAAAGAAUGCUGUAGUUAUUGAAAGUGAAUCUAAACAGAGAAAACAAUCUCUCCAGCUUUACACAUCCAUCAACUCCUGCUGCUUUAGAGGACUUCACUUUCAAGAUGUUUGACUAAUAUUUCAUGUAUACCAUUCUUCCCUCCCAAAAUCCCACUGAAUAACUGUGAGAGGAAUGUUGAGAAAAAUAAUCCCAUAGCAACAUUAGAAAUCCUUGGAGUUCCAUCGUAGUAUAGAGCAUGUAGCAAAUUUGCAAGGUAGAAUUCAAUUGUGAUAAAAUAAAUGGUGGACCCUAACAGAAUUGAGCUAACUAAAGCUCCAUAUAGGGGAAUAAAAGACCUCCAAACUCAGAAAGACCUACAGAUUAGAGGUAGCUAUAGCUGAGAAUGGAAAAGGAUCAUAGAGAGUCAUAGAGUAAUUACAGUGUUGGGGAGCAGCUUUAUUGAUAGUCUGUUUUCAAAGCAACUGAUUGUGUCAUUUUUUCUGUUACAGCUGUGAGCUUGCUAUGAGAAAUUACCAGAAGAGACAUCACCACUAUAAUGAGUCAGUGCAGGGAAUGGGGAAUUUUCUUUAUGCUGUGGCACUGCACACAACUAUUAAUAUAGAUUGGUCAGGAUCAGUGAUUCUAAUCAUUGGCUGCACAUUUCAAUCACUUGGAUAUAUUUAACAUACCGACACUAACUAAUGGCCACCUUUGGGAGGGUAUUAACUGGAAAACGGCAAGGGAGGCUUCUCUAGGGGGCACAGAAAUGGUCUGUGACAGGCGGCACUGAAGCACAGCUCAUGAGCUAAAUUGGACACACUGCCUGUUGUAAACUUUACUGGAACACAGACUGUCUUGCACAGCCCAUGGAUGCUUUAGCUCUCCAACAUAGUUGAAUAAUUUUGCCUGGGACUGCCUGGACUGCAAACCCAAAAUGAGUUGGUCCUUCACAGAAAAAACGUUUCUGAACUUUGGCCUAUUUUCUUUAUGUAGGUCACUGUGCAUUGUCUGAGUAUGUAUUUAUUUAUAUAUGAGGUGGGGUAUCACUGUAUGGUCCAGGCUGGCCUUGAGCUUGCUAUCCGCUCAUGCUCAGCCCACUGAGUAGCUGGGAUCACAGGUGUGUGCUACCUCACCCUAUUGCCUUUGCAAUUUUUAUACUGUACUAUGUGUAAAAUAUACCUCAAAAGACUAAAAAGAAAGAAACUCUACUGCUUGGGUGCCGCCUCCAGAUAUUCUUACUUAGUUGAUCUGUGAUAAAUUCUGUAUAUCAAGAUUUUUUAAAUCACUCAAGUUAAUUCUAAUGAAUAAAUGAGGUUGUGAACUACACAGUUAGACCCUCAUUUAUAUCCAUGAACAUACAAAUAAGGGUCACCACAUAUUAAGGAAAAUAAAAUGCAUGAAAUCAAGAUACCAAGUGUACAGUAAGAAGAACAAAACCCCUGAGGAAACAGUCAAUACAGAAAACAGAAAGAACAUAAACAUAGGUGUCAUUAUUAGUCUCUAAAAGCAUAAGAAGGUAUCGUCCACUAAACAAGAGCAAUUAGCUCUUAAGAAGAAUCAAGACAGAUCAGAUCAGUUAUUUUGAGCUAACAAUAAUUAUUAUAGAAAAUCUCAGGAGUAUUGUUAAACAGCAGAAAGAUAAUAUAUGUAGCACAAAUUAGUGACCUGGGCGCAUUUUCUCCAGAUUAGAUACCCAAAAGCAGUUAGGAAAAUUAUGACAGAAAAGUUUGGAGACUUGGAGGACAGACCUAAAUGAGCAAAUGCCUAUCUAAUGGAAGUUCAGAAGGAGUCAACAGAGAGAAUAGAGGGAAUAACCAAAUAAAUAGUAAACUAAAAUUGCCCUGAAUUAGAGAAAGACUUGAAUUUAAAAAAAGGAAGUACUCAUGUAAAUUGCAGGAUGAAAAUGAGAAAGGCUUAGCUAAUAAACGUAGACUAUAUUAAACUGGUAGAUCCAAGAGAGAGCUAGGAAGAAAUGUGUAUAUUACUAAGUAGACUACAAUAUGUCCUUAUUACUGUGACCAAGACAAGCUGAGUAUGGAAGUGUGCGCCUAUAUAAUCCCAGCACUCUGGGAGGCUGAAGCAGGAGGGUCACAAGUUGGAGCUCAGCCUGGGAUUUUGUGACUUAGGGAGACUCUGUCUCAAAAUAAGAAAAUAAAAAUGGACUGAGGAUGUAGCUUAGCAUGAAGGCCUUGGGUCAAAUCCCCACUACCCUCUUGCCAAAGUGGCAUUCAGCUAGAAUGUCCAAAUGGAACUCAGCUAUACAGGAAAUGCAAAUGAAAACUCAAAAUUGAGUAGUAUUUGGUUGGAGAUCUUAAAACGAGAGUAGUGGUCAUUGUUAACCCAAUCUCUGACCCAUUCGCGGAUGAACCUUUGACCUGGACUGUAGACGUUCUCAUCCCAGAUGGGAAUUGACCCUUGGACUGAACCAUGGCCAGUUUCUGAGAACAUUGUCACCACCUGCUGACCUUCCAUAUACUGGAUCCCUUUCCCAGACUGCCCCAAAACUGAAACUGCACCUAAUCACUUUCUUAUAAGACAGCUUAACUUUUGUCCAAACCGAUCAUAAUUCUCGACUAACAAGUGAUGUAAUUGUGGUGUAAAACUAUAAAUAUGACUGCCAUUUUGUAAAACCUCCAGGCACAUUUGCAAGAUUGCUUGCAUCUGUGUCUCCCAGAAUGCAUUCCUAGUUAGCCCCUAAUGAAAGCAAUUUUCGCUUGUCUCCAUGAGGUUGAUUUUAUUCUCAGCUGACAAAUAUCAGCCUAGGUGUCCUAAUUUUAGAUACGUUGUUUAUGCAGUUUAUAUUGUAACCAGAGAAGCCACGUAUAUGUAAAAUAACCAGUAAUUAGGGUAAGAAAAUAAAGUGAUCUAACUCUCCCUCAGAGAAAGGCCAACCCAAGAGGUUUGGAAGGGAUUGUGUAAUGAAGUGAGGAUAAGAUCACAGGGGUUAUUUCCCAGUUAAAAAAAAGGGAUUUACUGGGACUAUGAGGACUUGUAGACAUAAUUUGUUUCAGCACACUUAGGGCAUGCUCAGAAAAUCUUACUGUAUCUUGGGAUCUGGGUUAAAGAGGCAAGCCAUAGAAGAUAAUUUACAACCACAUAGAUAAUUAGAGAACUCUGAAGAGAUUUAUCAUCAGAGAUGUAUGUUAUCCUUCAAGGCCAUGACGAUAAUCCUGGAUUGUAAAGAUGAGAUAGUCUUAUCUUUCCCCAUGGAGAAAUUUAUGUACAUUCCAAAAUGAUAGUAGGAACACCAGAUCCUUCCCAAGUAUGGAGGAUUAUCCUCCUUCCUUUCAGCAGACAGACCCCUCCUAUAUACACUUCAGUGUUCCUUGCUUGCAAUACAAAUUCUGGCAUGUAAGGUGGCAUUGAGGUUGCCUCUGGUCAAGCUAAAUGUAAGAAAGUGGGGCACAGAACAUCCACAGAGUUGUUACUUGCUUGAAAGUAAAUAAUAAUCUCUGGUCCAGACAUUUAGUGUGUGCAGUUAUUAUGAUAUUAAUAAAUAGGGCUAAAAUAAACGUAACAGGCUGCAAACUCAAGCUUCUUCUCAUCUCAUGAAUAUGUUUAUAAUAUGUAUAUAGAUAUUCCUUGUUUAAUGUCCUACCUGUUUAAUAACUGUUCAGGCCUAAGACCUGGUGCUUGGACUUACAACUCAUCUUUUUUGGGCGGUCAGUUCUGAACAUUUUUUUGUAAUGAGACUCAAUAUCUUUUUGUGCAGUGCACUUUGUUUAUACAGUACUGUAAUAUUUGCUGAUUGUACUGUAUAGUAUGUACUAUAGUUUUAUAUUCCAUUAUAAAUUACAGUACUGCAUGUAAGAGUUAUGCAACUAAAAGUAAAGCCAUCAAGUUGGAGUUUCUUUUCACUAUUUAUUUGUUCUGAAUACUGUAAGGUACAUACUACCUACAAUCCUCAUUUCUCAACCAAUUCAUUUAAUGACCUUGUCCCAGAAACAAAACUCGGUCUUUAAACAAAUAGUGUCUUAUAUGUAGAUCAGCAGAAUGUUUCUGUAUUUAGAUCUUUGAUCUAUUUUGACUUUAGUUUAGUACAUGGUGAGGAAUAUAUGUCCAGAUUCAACCUUCUGCAUGUGAAUAGCCAGUUUUCCCAGCACCAUUUGUAAGAGGCAGUUUUUCUUCCAGCAUGGUUUUGGUCCCUUUGUCAAAGAUCAGGUAGCUGAAUAAGAUAACAUAGGUAAAACUCUUGAAGACAUAGGCAUAAGCUAGGAGUUUCUGAACAGAACCCUAAUUGCACAAGAAAUAACAUAAAAAAUCUACAAAUAGAAUUAUGUCAAAUAGAAAAGCUUCUGUAUAGCAAAAGAAACAACCAACAGAGUAAGGAGGCAACCUACAAAAAGGGAAAAAGUUUUGCCACCUACUCCUUGGACAGAGGACUAAUAUCUAGAAUAUAAAGAACUCAAAAAUUUAGACCCCCCAAUCAAAAAUGGGCAAGUGAAAUGAAUACACACUUCACAGAAGUACAAAUGGCUAAGAAAUAUAUGAAAUUUUUUUUCACCCUCCUGGCCACUAGAGAAAUGCGAAUUAAAACAGCACAGCAGAAAGAAUGACCACCAUUGAGAAAUCAAACAAUAACAAAUACUGGUGAAGCUGCGGGGGAAAAAAGAACUCUUCUCCAUCGUUAGUCGGGAUAUAAACUAGUACAACCUUUAUGGAAGUCAGUUAUGGAAAUUCCUCAAAAAAUGAAAAGUAGAAAUUCCACUCAACCCAUCUAUUUCCAUUCUAUGCAUCUUCCUUAAAGAGUUAAGAAAUCAUGUUACUGUGACAUGUGCAUACCCAUGUUUAUAGCAACACAACUCAUAGUAGCUAAAACUCGGAAGGAGUCUAUAUUCCAUCAACAGACGAAUGGAUAAAGAAAAUGUGGCAUUCAUACACAAUGAGGCACUACUCUGCCAUAAAGAACAAUAAACUUGAGUCAUUUUUAGAAAAAUGGAUGACCCUUGAAACUGUAAUGUUAAGUGAGACAAAUUAGGCACACUAGCUUAAAUAUCUCAUGUUUUCUAUUGUAUGAGAAACAAUAAGUAAAGAGCAAAAUAAAACAUAAUAAGGAAUAGGGAGAUGAAUCUUUUGCAAAAGAGAAGAGCACCAAAAGAUAGGAGGGAGGAGAAUGAGGAGGGGAAGGAGCUGAAAAAAGAAUUCAGAUGCAUUAUCUACAUUACCACAUCCUGACAAGCAAUGUAAUCGUUUUUUUACAGAAAAUAUGUACUAACAAAAAAAAAAUGAAAAUUGAAAUUAAAAAUAUUUGUCCCUGGCAAAAACAUGGGUAAAUCAGAUGCUUUUGUAUGUAUAUUAUCUCACAUUGCCUACAGCUGCUUUACUACACUGGAAAAAACCUUGGACCUGAUAGGUGGUAUUCUCCUGGGGAACGUGUGAAUUGUCCUGGGUAAUUAAUAGUAAUUGUGACACUUUGCUGCUUUAAUUUCUUAGCACAUUCCUUACUACCUCUAAAGAGACAGGUUUGUGUAUCCACCCAAACAACAUGGAAUAGCUGAAAUGUGAAGUAUGAGAAAUGAAAAGAAAACAAAAGACCAAAUGCCAUCAGUUAGGUUAGGGUUGUUGUGAUAGUAAAUUGCAAGUCAGAGAAUUUAACCCAACAAAGGAUUGUUCUCUCCUGCACUAUGGGUCCACUGCAGGUCAACACAGGGACUCUGUUUAGUGCCAUCAUGCAAGGAUCCAGGGUGACAGAGACUUACCAUAACUGUUUCCAUGAUUACAGUAUGGUAAAAGCAUGUGGUGAAUUGGACUCUUAGAGCUUCCAUCUCUGUGUGAAAUGCAUAACUUUGUCUUAUCACAUGGCCACACAUAACUUCAAAGGGUAGAAAAAGCAAUCCCAGCACUUGCUUAAGAAUAAAACUGGGUCUUCCUUUCUUAUCACAAAAUAUCCUCCUUUCUUCAUGCAGAAUUGAUUCAAUCCAUCCCCAUGAGGAAAGAACACAAAAAUCCCUUUCUAUCCUCUUUCACUCUCAAAAUCUAGGAUCUCUGAGUGGUGUGUGGAAAUUUCUUUAUGUGUUCUGGUUGAUCCAGUUUAUAAUGCUCUGUUCUGUCUUAGUCCAGAGGACUAUAAAUGAAACAGAAAAUUUCUUUGCCCCCUCAUAUGCAAUAUUCAGUGAUGUUAUAGGGAAAAACAACCAUAACAAACAAUCCACUCUAGAGAAGAGUAGGAAUCACAUCUCAGUCAAUGGGGCAGACCUGUUUUGUCAUGGUAAUGUACCAACUCUAGCCACUGGUUCUAAUUAGUCCUAGACAAUCUAGUCUAAAAUAGACUACAUUUUACUAUAAUAUUAACCUAAAAUCAUCAGUGAGUUGAAAUAGGAGAUUUGUUUCUUUAUCAUGCUGUCUGUUCAAUUUUAGGCAGGAGGGAGGUUCUGCUUACUGUAGUUAGUCAAGGACCAGGUUUACAGAGGUUCAACAAAUGUGGACUUCCACAACUACUAUUGCAGAGUGAAGAGAAUGUGGUAAAUAUUUGGACAACAGCAAUUAUGACUCCCCAGGAGGAACCUAGACAUAUUGUAGAUCCUUUUUCAAUUUCCAUGUAUAAAGGAAAAAUAGUAUAUGACGUACAAAAAUGUGAAUCUGAAUGUUAUGAUAGGUCUCAUGUACAAUGCAAGAUAUUAGAAACAGUGGUGUGACAUCUGCAAACUGUCCAGGGAAAAAUAUUUUUAAAGUAGAGUAUCAUAGCCAGAAUGACUAUUAGUCAGGUAGGCAAAAUGAAGGCCUUCUCAGGAAUACUGAGACUCAGGAAAUUGACAACCCUUGCAACAUCAAUGAAAGGAGUGUUCUGAGACAUAGUUUGGCAAAAAAAAAAUAGAAUCUAAGGUAAAAGGAGUGCAAAAUAGUUUAAAAAUGAUAUGAUUAUAUGAUACUGUGAGGGUUAAGGUGGAAUGGGAACUGGAUUAGAUUUUGGGGACCGAUUCAGGGGAAGAGUAAAGCGUACUCGGAGGUGCGUCUGAGUGGGUCUUAAAAGCACAACCUUGGGGUCUAUAGCUGGUCCCUGGCCCUUUCCUCUCUGGCACAUUGCCCUGCUCUGCUUCUUGGCUACCAUGAAUUAGGGAGCUUUGCUCUAUCAUGCCCUUUUGCCAUGAUGUUCCUGCCUUGCAGCCUGCCCCACAUGGACUGAAUCCUCUGAAACCGUGAGCUAAUUUAGACCUCUCCUCCUUUUAGUUGUAGGUACUGGGUAUUGUGCCCCAGUGAUGGGAAAGCUAACUAAUGUGGAUACUUGCCAAAUCCCAGUAUGGAAGACUUUAUUCGGGAUCAUUAACAUAAAUGCCGGACCAUUGCAACACUGUCCUGCAGUGAAGAAGAGUCAUUGAAGUCAAUAGGGAAUACAAUAUGAGCAAGAG
ensembl:lncRNA